UCAAUUAAGUAAUAUGAAUACCGAUUCUCUAAACGAAGAAGUACAUUUUCGAAAAAGGGUCAACAAAACUAAAAAGAAAGACAGCCAAACAAGUGGAAAAAAUGAAUUUGGUUCGAAUGCACGAGAGGAAGGAGCGCAAGAAUAUAUACAACUAUUUCCGAAACAAAACUCUGCUAUAACUCUAACUGAUACUUACAGC